rnacentral:rRNA from 1 species
AAAUUUUACUUAACUAUAAUUUUAUAUUACCCUAAGGGGAAAACCUUAUACUUUUAUAUAUUAAUAAAAAUUUUAGGUUGGGGCGACCACGGAAUAAAGAAAAACUUCCGAGAUGAGAUUUAUAGAAGGACACUUCACAAAAUAGAAAAAUCUAACAUAUUGACCCAAUAAUUGAUCAACGAACCAAGUUACCCUAGGGAUAACAGCGCAAUCUUCUCCAAGAGUUCUUAUCGACGAGUAGGUUUACGACCUCGAUGUUGGAUCAGGACACCCAAAUGGUGCAGCAGCUAUUAAA